CCUACGGGAGGCAGCAGUGGGGAAUAUUGGACAAUGGGCGAAAGCCUGAUCCAGCCAUGCCGCGUGUGUGAAGAAGGCCUUCGGGUUGUAAAGCACUUUCAGUGGGGAAGAAAGCCUUGGGGCUAAUACCCUCGAGGAAGGACAUCACCCACAGAAGAAGCACCGGCUAACUCCGUGCCAGCAGCCGCGGUAAUACGGAGGGUGCGAGCGUUAAUCGGAAUUACUGGGCGUAAAGCGCGCGUAGGCGGUCUGAUAAGCCGGUUGUGAAAGCCCCGGGCUCAACCUGGGAACGGCAUCCGGAACUGUCAGGCUAGAGUGCAGGAGAGGAAGGUAGAAGUCACGGUGUAGCGGUGAAAUGCGUAGAGAUCGGGAGGAAUACCAGUGGCGAAGGCGGCCUUCUGGACUGACACUGACGCUGAGGUGCGAAAGCGUGGGUAGCAAACAGGAGUAGAUACCCCUGUAGUC
rnacentral:rRNA from 1 species